UACGGAGGAUGCGAGCGUUAUCCGGAUUUAUUGGGUUUAAAGGGUGCGUAGGCGGGCUUUUAAGUUAGCGGUAAAAAUUCGGGGCUCAACCCCGUCCGGCCGUUGAAACUGGGGGUCUUGAGUGGGCGAGAAGAAGGCGGAAUGCGUGGUGUAGCGGUGAAAUGCAUAGAUAUCACGCAGAACCCCGAUUGCGAAGGCAGCCUUCCGGCGCCCUACUGACGCUGAGGCACGAAAGUGCGGGGAUCGAACAGG
rnacentral:rRNA from 1 species